rnacentral:lncRNA from 1 species
GCAGGAGGGCGGGUGGGUGCGGGAACACAGACCCGAUGCGCGAGCGGGAGCUGGCGCAGGGGAUCCGAACUGGCGAGUUCAAGUCACCUGGGAUGGCAAGUGCUGCCAGGAGCGCGCCGGUGCGAGUCGCCGCAGCCUGCAGCCAGCUGCUGUUGCCGCCGCCGCUCGAGAACAGAAGUGUCAGCAGAGGACUGUAAGUGCUAUGUGAUUGGACGACGGUGGCCAUAGAAUUUCACCUGCCCAGCACGUAUUCUCUCAUCCUCUCCUCCUCUGCCUUCUUUGGGAGGGAGAAAUCAGAAGGAGUGGGGAUGCAGUUCAGAGAGCAGAGGAGAAGAGAAGAAAAGAAGGAAGAAGGAAGAGGACUAGGGUUGGGUGGGGGGGGAGGACACCAAUGGGAAGAGGGACAGAUCAACUCUAUACACAAAAGUAAAUCAAAACACCAAAAACAGGGGUCUAUGUAAAGAAGCCUCUUCCCGUGAAUUGCUCGUUGCAUAGCUGCAGGGAGGGUGUUUAGGGGCAUAGAGAAUGAAAACAUACCUGUAUUUUGGUGUAGGGAAAUUGUUUCUGUCAAUUCACACCGUCCACACACCACCUCCCACCCCAACCCCGCCACUACCAAAUUCCUCUAAAUAAAAAUAAUUAUGAGAUACAGGCCAACAAAAACGUCAGCGUUAGGCUGUUAUUUAGAGAGAAUUGGAAAGCGUUUGAAUGUGGCCCUGUUGUUUAAUAAACGAUAACAAUGAUUACUAAGUUGUCCUGAG